rnacentral:rRNA from 1 species
CCUACGGGGGGCACCAGUGGGGAAUAUUGGACAAUGGGCGAAAGCCUGAUCCAGCAAUGCCGCGUGUGUGAAGAAGGUCUUCGGAUUGUAAAGCACUUUCGACGGGGACGAUGAUGACGGUAUCCGUAGAAGAAGCCCCGGCUAACUUCGUGCCAGCAGCCGCGGUAAUACCAAGGGGGCUAGCGUUGCUCGGAAUGACUGGGCGUAUAGGGCGCGUAGGCGGUUUAUGCAGUCAGAUGUGAAAUCCCCGGGCUUAACCUGGGAACUGCAUUUGAGACGCAUAGACUAGAGGUCGGGAGAGGGUUGUGGAAUUCCCAGUGUAGAGGUGAAAUUCCCAGAUAUUGGGAAGAACACCGGUGGCGAAGGCGGCAACCUGGCUCGAUACUGACGCUGAGGCGCGAAAGCGUGGGGAGCAAACAGGAUUAGAUACCCUUGUAGUC